GCCCUUAUAGCUCAAUAGGAGGAGCUACUCCCUCUUAAGGAGUAGGUUCAAGGUUCGAGUCCUUGUGGGGGCAC
rnacentral:tRNA from 1 species